rnacentral:rRNA from 1 species
CCUACGGGAGGCAGCAGUGAGGAAUAUUGGUCAAUGGCCGGAAGGCUGAACCAGCCAAGCCGCGUGAGGGACGACUGCCCUCUGGGCUGUAAACCCUGUUUAUAGGGGAAGAAUAAAUGCUACGUGUAGCAUGAUGCCUGUCCCUUUUGAUUACGCAUCGGUUAACUCUGUGCCAGCAGCCGCGGUAAUACGGAGGUUGAGAGCGUUAUUCGGAUUUAUUGGGGUUAGGGGGUGCGUAGGCGGAUUGUUAAGUUUGUGGUUAAACGUCGGGGCUUCACCUUGAUUUGCCAUUAAUACUGUAAGACUCGAGUGCAGGCGAGGUAAGCGGAAUAAGUUAAGUAGCGGUGAAAUGCGUAGAUAUAACGUAGAACUCCGAUAGCGAAGGCAGCUUACCGGACUGCGACUGACGCUGAAGCACGAGAGCGUGGGUAGCGAACAGGAUUAGAUACCCGGGUAGUC